UCCAAUUGAACAACCCAGCAGUUUGUAGCUUGAGUAGACCGUUUAAAAGGGGUUAGAAACCAUAAAUCAUGCAGAAGUGACGGUGGGACUCAAAGAGUUAAAGGGCAGCUGAACUUCCCGAUGAUUUGACGACGACCAAAUUCAAAAAGAAAGAAGGAGAAGGAGUAAGAUCACUAGAAAGCAGAAUGCUGCCAGACAACCACAGGACCCUAGAGGCCUCUGCAUGCUGUGACAUGGGUCUGGGUGGUGAUACAUCUACUUCCAGCUGCCUGGCUGUUACUUUACCUGACCAAUUAAAGCGAGAGUCUCCUUAUCUCUGUCUCGUAGCCAUUUAACAUGUUAACGUGUAUUUUAUGUAGUCACUCAUUCAUACAAACUGCCACAGUAACAAUAACUGACUUAUAUUCACUUGUCUAUUUGUCCUAUUCUUCAGGCUAGUGUGGUAUAUAUAUUUUAGUUGGCACAGCUGUGUGAUGUCUUAUAUACUUAUAUUCAAUACAAAUUGAAGUCUGCAUGUUUGAUGUUUAAGUUACAAUACUAGUUAGUGAAAAUGUGAAAAACAGGCUAUUUUGUAACAACUUUUAAAAAACGAACAUGAGUAGUUAUUACAAGACUUUGUGUUUGGUGAUUAUCCUCCAAAUUUGGCCUUUGAAAAGCCUUGAUACUCUAGUUGCAUCCUUCCUCAGGGAACUGUCUGCUGAUAGCUGACAACAGGGUGGCAGUUUUUUUAUGUGCAGCUCUAGAGUUCCAUGGCCCAGCAGACUCACCUGGGGAUAGGGGGAUGGACACGUGUUAGUUUGUCUGGGUGACUUGUCUGGAGGAGAUAGCAUGAGUUUUGGAGUCAGUACAUUAAAUCCAAUCCAACCAGUGGCCCUGGAUAAUAUGCUGUAUGUCAUCACACAGACAGACAGCCAUAGUGAAGGAGGUUUAUGUAACAGUCUUGCUUCCGUCCCCCUCCUCACGCCAACCUGGGCUUGAAUUAGGGAUGCGUAAAAUAUACAGUACCUCAAUGGCAUUCAAAGAGAGGAGUGUGUUGGGGGAGAGGCUUGAGAUGUGCUGUCCAUCAGAAAAGUUGCAAAGACUAUCCUUCAACCAAUUAAAAACGUAAAACAGUGUAUUUCCUGACCAAACAGCUGUGUUGGACAUGUGUUUCAUGCAUUUUGGUUUAUAAACAGCCUUACUCUGUGGUUCAAUUUGAAUCUUCCCAUUGGCCCAUGGCCUCCUGCCAAACCCUCUAACGAGUC